UACAGAGGUGGCAAGCGUUGUUCGGAAUUACUGGGCGUAAAGGGCGCGUAGGCGGCUUGGUCAGUCCCGUGUGAAAUCCCUCGGCUCAACUGAGGAACUGCACGGGAAACUGCCUGGCUUGAGUUCGGGAGAGGGAAGCGGAAUUCCGGGUGUAGCGGUGAAAUGCGUAGAUAUCCGGAGGAACACCGGUGGCGAAGGCGGCUUCCUGGACCGACACUGACGCUGAGGCGCGAAAGCCAGGGGAGCGAACGGG
rnacentral:rRNA from 1 species